UGGGGAAUAUUGGACAAUGGGCGCAAGCCUGACCCAGCAACGCCGCGUGAAGGAAGAAGGCUUUCGGGUUGUAAACUUCUUUUCUGAGGGACGAAGAAAGUGACGGUACCUCAGGAAUAAGCCACGGCUAACUACGUGCC
rnacentral:rRNA from 1 species